UGAGGAAUAUUGGUCAAUGGGCGCGAGCCUGAACCAGCCAAGUCGCGUGAGGGAAGACGGUCCUAUGGAUUGUAAACCUCUUUGUCGGGAGCAAAGAAGUCACGUGUGUACUAAAAGUGAGAGUACCCGAAGAAAAGCAUCGGCUAACUCCGUGCC
rnacentral:rRNA from 1 species